UCUGUCACUACGUCCCUGCUGACCCUCUCUGUCCCUACAUCCCUGUUGCCCCUCUCUGUCCCUACGUCCCUGCUGCCCCUCUCUCUGUCCCUGCUGCCCCUCUCUCUGUCUCUACGUCCCUGCUGCCCCUCUCUGUCCCUACGUCCCUGCUGCCCCUCUCUGUCCCUAAGUCCCCGCUGCCCCUCUCUGUCCCUACUGCCCCUCUAUCUGUCUCAAUGUCCCUGCUGCCCCUCUCUCUGUCUCAAUGUCCCUGCUGCCCCUCUCUGUCCCUACGCCCCUGCUGGCCCUCUCUCUGUCCCUACUGCCCCUCUCUCUGUCCCUAUGUCCCUGCUGCAUCUCUCUCUCUCCCUACGUCACUGCUGCCACUCUCUCUGUCCCUACUGCCCCUCUCUCUGUCCCUAUGUCCCUGCUGCAUCUCUCUCUCUCCCUACGUCCCUACUGCCCCUUUCACUGUCCCUACAUCCCUGCUGACUUUCUCUUUGUCCCUAUGUCCCUGCUGCCUAUAUCUGUUCCUACGGGAUCCAGUCAGGAUCCUGAUGGUCGGGACCCCUGGCAUCCUGACAAGGAUAACCAUCUCGGUGCAGGAAUUUCGACUGUCAGUAUCCGGAAUGAGCAAGGCCUGGGAUGCCAGACAGGUUGCACCGGCCCCGGUCAGCUGACGCAGAAGGAUCCUAUCCCGGACGAUCUCACAACCAAUCCCCUCUAUUUCCGGUUGUGGAUCUGGUGACACACAUGCUGUUGGUCACCAUGGCAGCCACGGCGUGUGAGGAGAGGGGGGAAGCGGAAUGUGAUAGCCGGAAGAAUGGACCCGGUGUGCGGCGGCGGGGACGGUGCGAUCCUGUACAGGCGCACCCAGAGACCAGAAGAAGCCGCAAGCAGCUGCCAAUAAGGAACAAAAGUAGACUCCUUUCCGCCUUGGACAUGUUCACCUGAAAGUUACGACAUUUCUUCAAGUUUGAAUAUCGCUUUUCCGCUACUAAAGCUAGCGGACAGUUUAGACCGUUACCUUUCCCCACUUUGUUUAGGGGAACGUUAUGACUUGAAUGUUAAAUAAACUA